AUUGAACGCUGGCGGCAGGCUUAACACAUGCAAGUCGAACGAGUGGCGGACGGGUGAGUAAUGUCUGGUAAACUGCCUGAUGGAGGGGGAUAACUACUGGAAACGGUAGCUAAUCCCGCAUACCAUCAGAUGUGCCCAGAUGGGAUUGGCUGGUUGGUGGGGUAAUGGCUAACCAAGGCGACGAUCCCUCGCUGGUUUGCGAGGAUGACCAGCCAAACUGGAACGGAGACAGGGCCCAGACCCCUCCGGGAGGCAGAAGUGGGGAAUAUUGCACAAUGGGCGAAAGCCGGAUGCAGCCAUGCCGGGGGUAUGAAGAAGGCCUCCGGGUUGUAAAGUACUUUCAGCGGGGAGGCGUUACCCGAAGAAGAAGCACCGGCUAACUCCGUGCCAGCAGCCGCGGUAAUAC
rnacentral:rRNA from 1 species